rnacentral:rRNA from 1 species
UUGCAGUUAAAAAGCUCGUAGUUGGAUUUCUGGUAUAGUGUCUCCGCCCUGCAUGAUCGUAGGAGCGGAGCGCUCUGCCAUCCUUCUGUUAACCUUCACGGGAUUGACUCCCCGUCCAGGGGCUCAGAUAUUUUACCCUGAGAAAAUUAGAGUGUUUCAGGCAGGCUUUCGCCGGAAUACAUUAGCAUGGAAUAAUGGAAAAGGACUUCAACCUCUUCUGUUGGUCUAAGAGGCUGUAGUAAUGAUUAAUAGGGAUAGUUGGGGGCAUUAGUACUUAACUGUCAGAGGUGAAAUUCUCCGAUUUGUUAAAGACUAACUUAUGCGAAAGCAUUUGCCUAGGAUGUUUUCAUUAAUCAAGAACGAAAGUUAGGGGAUCAAAGACGAUCAGAUACCGUCCUAGUCUUAACCAUAAACUAUGCCGACUCGGGAUCGGAGGCACGCAAAAUCGGUCUUCGGCACCGUAUGAGAAAUCAAAGUCUUUGGGUUCUGGGGGGAGUAUGAUCGCAAGGCUGAAACUUAAAGGAAUUGACGGAAGGGCACCACCAGGCGUGGA